rnacentral:rRNA from 1 species
AGCAUGUGGUUUAAUUUCGAUGAUACGCGAGAAACCUUAACCAGGGCUUGACAUAUACAGGAAUGUUGUAGAGAUACAGCAGCCGCUUGCGGUCUGUAUACAGGUGCUGCAUGGCUGUCGUCAGCUCGUGCUGUGAAGUGUUGGUUAAGUCCCGCAACGAGCGCAACCCUAUCAUCUGUUGCCAGCAUUUAAGGUGGGGACUCAGAUGAGACUGCCGGUGACAAACCGGAGGAAGGUGGGGACGACGUCAAGUCAUCAUGGCCCUUAUGUCCUGGGCUACACACGUGCUACAAUGGCCGGUACAGAGUGAAGCGAAACCGCGAGGUGAAGCAAAACGCAGAAAGCCGGUCUCAGUACGGAUUGGAGUCUGAAACUCGACUUCAUGAAGUUGGAAUCGCUAGUAAUCGCGCAUCAGCAUGGCGCGGUGAAUACGUUCCCGGGCCUU